rnacentral:rRNA from 1 species
GUGAACGCUGGCGGUAGGCCUAACACAUGCAAGUCGAACGGCAGCACAGGAGAGCUUGCUCUCUAGGUGGCGAGUGGCGGACGGGUGAGGAAUACAUCGGAAUCUGCCCAGUCGUGGGGGAUAACGUAGGGAAACUUACGCUAAUACCGCAUACGACCUUCGGGGGAAAGAGGGGGAUCGCAAGACCUCUCGCGAUUGGAUGAGCCGAUGUCGGAUUAGCUAGUUAGCGGGGUAAUGGCCCACCAAGGCGACGAUCCGUAGCUGGUCUGAGAGGGUGAUCAGCCACACUGGAACUGAGACACGGUCCAGACUCCUACGGGAGGCAGCAGUGGGGAAUAUUGGACAAUGGGCGCAAGCCUGAUCCAGCCAUACCGCGUGGGUGAAGAAGGCCUUCGGGUUGUAAAGCCCUUUUGUUGGGAAAGAAAUCUUUCAGGCUAAUACCCUGGGAGGAUGACGGUACCCAAAGAAUAAGCACCGGCUAACUUCGUG